GCCAGACUCCUACGGGAGGCAGCAGUGGGGAAUAUUGGGCAAUGGGCGCAAGCCUGACCCAGCAACGCCGCGUGAAGGAAGAAGGCUUUCGGGUUGUAAACUUCUUUUCUGAGGGACGAAGCAAGUGACGGUACCUUAGGAAUAAGCCACGGCUAACUACGUGCCAGCAGCCGCGGUAAUACGUAGGUGGCAAGCGUUAUCCGGAUUUACUGGGUGUAAAGGGCGUGUAGGCGGGAAAGCAAGUCAGAUGUGAAAACCACGGGCUCAACCUGUGGCCUGCAUUUGAAACUGUUUUUCUUGAGUACUGGAGAGGCAGACGGAAUUCCUAGUGUAGCGGUGAAAUGCGUAGAUAUUAGGAGGAACACCAGUGGCGAAGGCGGCCUGCUGGACGACAACUGACGGUGAGGCGCGAAAGCGUGGGGAGCAAACAGGAUUAGAUACCCCGGUAC
rnacentral:rRNA from 1 species